ACGGGUGUGUUUUUUGGACCUUGGUUUCGAGUGCGUAAAAAAAGUAUACGGGAUCAAAUUAUUAGUUUUGCUUUUUGUAUUGGGAGUUAAUCGGCGUUAAGUAUAAACAUAUAAAAAAAUCUAUUUUCCUUUUUAUAUAUAUACAUGCGACAAAAAACCAGACUAGUGAUGUACUACCGAAUAUGUAUAAUGUUGAAAUGAACAUCCGUAAUUUGGACUUGUCAAAGAGAUUUAUGUGUGCCUGCAUUUUUGUAAAUACCAUGAAAAGGAAAAAGUGUAAAUAUGUAAAUAAUAACAAUAAUGAAAUUGAUAUGUCCAAUCGCUGGUUGUUGAGGUUACGUUUAUGCAAUAUCAUGUAUCAUGUAUGUAUUAAUAAAUUUUUGAUUGGAACGCUGUAUAUAUAAAUAAAGAAUUUAUAAACAAGGAUGAGAAAUUCGCAAUCGGGAUUAUUAGUUUUAAAAAGAAAAGGAAAUGCCUACAUUCUGUACCCUAAAAUAACAAAAUCAUU